CAGUCCAGGGUAGUGGUUUUCAACCUGUAGUCUGCAGACCCUGGGGGUCCACAAACUAUGUCUGAUUUCCAAAGGGGCCUGCACUUCCAUUUGAAAUUUUGAGGGGUC